UAACAUUAUUCUACUAGGAAUUAAACAUGAAACAGAACUCGUGAACAUAACUGACUUCUCUGCAUUUUGGUAGGCUUGAACUUCUUUUUCUUCAUGUUGCUCAUGGACUGAAAGAUAGUACAACCCAUUAUUUCCCUUAACACUGUCAAUCAUUUUCCCCGAAUACAAACCCUGAAAUUUUCAAAAAUGAGGGGAGAAAUUUAGCUUUACAAUAUAGUACACUGGUCAGUUUGUUAACUGAAAUUAGGUUACUGAAAGAUUAGGAACAUGCAGAACUGAAUAAAGGGUAAUAGUUGGGGAAACCACAAUAUUUCCUUUCCCUGCAACUGAAGGCAGAGAGCUAUCAACAAUUCUGAUUUUAAGUGUACCAGGGCAAGGGAUAUAUGAAGAAAAAAAAUCUGAAUUUCCUGUCAUGUGAUCAGAUGUUCCCGAGUGUAUAAUCCAUUCAUCACUAUUAUCAAUCUGUGUCUCGUGCAAGGGAGAAACUACCUUUCCCAGCAAUGUUGCAAGACGGAUGCUAGGGGGAUUGAGAGUUACUCUGCCUAAGAUUAGACUGGUAUUGUUGAAGUAAUUUCUGAAUUCCACCAAUCUGUUCGUGGCUGAAAAUUGAUUGUUGUUGUUGGCUAGAUCCACCGAUGGUUACUUGGUACCCUCUGGAUUCGGUUUGAUUGCGUGGCUUCCAAUUGGAAGGCUUUCCAUGGAGCUUCCAGCACGUUUCACGGUUGUGGUUGGACCGAUUACAGUGGUCUCGCCACAUAUUCAGGUUAGGUGCUCGAUUUUCUCCCGAAUUAUUUUUUGAAACUCGAAGUUCUGCUUAAUCCAAUUUGCUGUCAAAGCUGAGGCAGAAAUAUUAGGAAUUUCUGUUCUAACUUCAGUCUCUUUGCUGCCACCUAACAUGACUUUCCUCCGAAUUUCUUCUCUCCUCACUUCAGCAAAAGCUUCUCCAAGGCUCAAGAGAGGUUUAGCACCAAGAAUAUGUCCUCUCACUUCGUCCAAUUCCUUAUUCAAACCACGUAAAAAAUCAAAGACACGUUCAAUUUCAAGGUCUACCUGAUAUUUCUUGCUGCAAGUCUGACAGUGUUUGGAGACAUCCUGGAGCAAGUCCAGCUCUUGCCAUAAGCCAGUCAAUGUAUUGUAGUAAUUCGUAACGGAGGAUUCACCUUGCUUGCAACCUUUCAGGACAGACUUGAGCUCAAACUGUUGGGCAGAAUUACCUAAAUCAGAAUACUUGUCUUUAUCUCCCUCCCAUAUUUCCUUAGCCGUCUUGUACGAUAAAUAAUUCCUCCCAUUCUUUUGCCCAUCGAGUUGACCAACCAUGCCAUCACCAAAGAGUUGUCUGCUUCCCAUAUGGCAUAAUUUCUGUCGUCCUCCGUAGGUGCUGCUGUAGUGUAGACCCAGUAAGAUACCCAAGUUCCCUUUUGCCUCAUAUCAGUGAUAUCACCAUGACAACGGACUGAGACCAAUCAAGAUAAUUGGAGCCAUCUAGUUUAUGUUGGGUUAUUUGUAAAGAGUUAUUUUCUGAGGUAGAGGAAGGAGA
rnacentral:lncRNA from 1 species